rnacentral:pre_miRNA from 1 species
AAUUAAAAGUUCAUUCAUCUCUAUUGUUAAAAACUUGUGUGUGUUUUAUGGAAUAACCAAAUAGUUAUACAUGGUGUGCCAUGUAUAUCUCAUACUAAUGUAUAUAGACCAAUUUUUAAUAGUAGUAAUAGAUGAAAUUUUUAAGA